rnacentral:lncRNA from 1 species
CUUGGGUGGCGGCACUGCCGCUGCCGGCGGCUGCCGGAGAGGAAGGGGCAGAUCCCCCGAAGGAAACGCUUAUAGAGAGGGAAGGAGGCAGGUUCGCCAUACGUGAUGGAACCGAUCACAGCGGAGAGCAAGGCUCUACUCCGGCAUCCUUCUAUCUGAAGCCUUCUGGGCCUUCCACUUCAUUCCCGUUCUUGUUCUGAUAUGGAAACCUGUCGUGACGCAAAAGCUUUUAAAAAAAUAAAAGAAAAAGGAAAUGGGAAAGCUGUAUUUAUAUAUAUUUUU